GCCGUAAAUAGCUGCGAUGGUCACACUGUUUUUGAUGCAAAAUAAAAUAAUGACGCUGACAUAGAAUCGGAUCUAGGGAACGUAUGAUGGAUAACAAUGUAGAGCAAUUAUCAGCAAAGAGCCAAACUGAACUAGCCGAGUCCACAGCAGCAGCAACAGGAACACCAGGAGCAGGUGGAGCAGUAGUAACCGUGGCCAGUGGAGCCGGACCAACGCCCGGCGCAAACUCUUCGACCUUUUGGAAAAACAGCGGACGUCGAGUGCCCGGACGGCCCAGUCCCAAGCGGGAGCUCGAGAAGGCGGCGGCAGUUGGGGUAGCGGUCGGUCGCGGCGCUGCCCCCGGAUCUGGUAUGGUGUCCACCUUUACCGAGUACCAGAAGUCGGUGAGCGAUGCCUGGGACAUGGGUGACGACGAGUUCUGCAUCAUCAGCAGCACGGAGGCGGCUGCCGCGGCCGUUGGAGCUGGUGGUGAUGCGGCUCAUUUCUCCCGGCAAGUGUCGCAGACGGUGGCUCUCAACGUGAUCGAGACGCACUCUCGAAGUAACCAGAACCAUAAUGCAUCCCGGUCAGCAAACGAAAGUGGCGCAGAUUUGGUCCCAGUCAGCAGUAGCUCGACGGACGACUGCAAGGAAGACCGCAGAUCUCUGCCGGACAGUAACGAAAACAGAUCUAGAUUGAGGAACUACCCGGGCAGACCGCAAUUGCAGAAGAUAAGCUCGAAUUGCCAGGACAGCGAGUACGAAACGAAAAUUGAAAAAUUCCAAGUGGUGCUAGACUCGCCUCAACUGGACUUGGUGGCUCUCAAGAAGAUCAGCUGGUCUGGUGUGCCUCGGAAGAUGCGAGCUGUCAGCUGGCGACUCCUUUCGAAGUAUCUUCCGCCUUCAAGUGAGCGAAGGAUGGCGGUGCUGGAGAGCAAGCGGCAGGGCUACCAGGACCUCAGGCACAACUACUUCCGGGUGGAUAGCCAGGAUGAGACGCAACAGGACACAUACCGCCAGAUUCACAUCGAUGUGCCACGAAUGAACCCCCAGAUUCCGCUCUUCCAGCAGCAGCUUGUCCAGGAGAUGUUCGAGCGCAUUCUCUUUAUCUGGGCCAUUCGCCAUCCUGCCUCCGGCUACGUGCAGGGCAUCAACGACCUGGUCACACCCUUCUUUAUCGUCUUUCUACAGGAGGCCUUGACGCCGAAUACGGAUCUCGAAAAGUACGACAUGUCCACGCUGCCCGAGGAGACUCGAAACAUUAUCGAGGCGGACUCGUUUUGGUGCUUAUCUAAGUUUCUCGACUGCAUUCAGGAUAACUACAUCUUUGCCCAGCUGGGCAUACAGGAGAAGGUUAACCAACUCAAGGAUCUGAUACAGCGCAUUGACGUGAACUUACAUCGUCAUCUACAGGCACAUGGUGUCGACUACUUGCAAUUCUCAUUUCGCUGGAUGAACAAUCUGCUGACACGCGAGCUGCCGCUGCACUGCACCAUCCGAUUGUGGGACACAUAUCUCGCAGAGUCCGACGGCUUCGCCCUGUUCCACUUGUACGUGUGCGCGGCAUUCCUUCUGCACUGGAAGGAGCAGCUGAUGCAACAAAACGAUUUCCAGGGUCUCAUGUUGCUGCUACAAAAUCUGCCAACACACAACUGGUCCGAUCGACAAAUCAAUGUACUGCUGGCCGAGGCAUUCCGCCUGAAGUUCACGUAUGCGGAUGCGCCCAAGCAUUUGGAGACGAAGAGUUGACAAAAGCAACACAAACAACGCAUAUACGUAACUUAGAAGUUAGUUUAUUACGAUUUGCGGAAUAUACCUACACAAUACACGCAACCGCUAAAGUUCUGCGCUUUUUGUACAUAAGAAUCAAAAUUCAAAAUACAACUUUACACGUUCAACGGGUCGAGCAGUUUAAAUUGAAAUUUGUCUUUUAUAAAAACAAAUCGAAUCAAAUGUAAUGAGAACUAUAUACUUUUUCCAUGUGAAAACUCAAAUUAGCCUAAACAAUAAAGAUGAAAAGCUAUAGUUAA